GCCAGGCGUGGUGGUGCGCACCUGUAGUCCCAGCUACUCGGGAGGCUGAGGCAGAAGAAUCGCUUGAACCCAGGAGGUGGAAGUUGCAGUGAGCCGAGAUCUCACCACUGCACUCCAGCCUGGGUGACAGAGUGAGACUCUGUCUCAA
rfam:Homo sapiens chromosome X, GRCh38 reference primary assembly.